GACGAACGCUGGCGGCGUGCUUAACACAUGCAAGUCGAACGGAAAGGCCCUGCUUUUGUGGGGUGCUCGAGUGGCGAACGGGUGAGUAACACGUGAGUAACCUGCCCUUGACUUUGGGAUAACUUCAGGAAACUGGGGCUAAUACCGGAUAGGAGCUCCUGCUGCAUGGUGGGGGUUGGAAAGUUUCGGCGGUUGGGGAUGGACUCGCGGCUUAUCAGCUUGUUGGUGGGGUAGUGGCUUACCAAGGCUUUGACGGGUAGCCGGCCUGAGAGGGUGACCGGCCACAUUGGGACUGAGAUACGGCGCAGACGCCUACGGGAGGCAGCAGUGGGGAAUAUUGCACAAUGGGCGGAAGCCUGAUGCAGCAACGCCGCGUGCGGGAUGACGGCCUUCGGGUUGUAAACCGCUUUCGCCUGUGACGAAGCGUGAGUGACGGUAAUGGGUAAAGAAGCACCGGCUAGCUACGUG
rnacentral:rRNA from 1 species